GAUUGAUAUGUUGUUGGGCGGAGAUGUCUUUCCACAUACUGUACGUCCAAAGGAGGAGAUCAUACACAUGAAAGGUUUACCUUCCAGGCUUGACACCUAUGUAGGACGGAUAUCAAGCUAUCAAUAAAUGCUGAAUAUUUGUCAUCGGGAUAUGGAAUUUUAACGGCGUUGUAUUGCUUUUCAAAAUGUUCAACUAAACCAGCGAUAGGAAUAGCAUUCUUGUAUAUGGCCCAAUCAAUUUUAGGUGCUUCUGGGGAUAAUGCAAACAUUCUGCAAAUUAUUUCAUUCAAUAUUUUAAAUAUAUAAAUAUUUAGCGAUAAACAUUUAAUUCGGUCAAAAAUGAUAUUUACAUACUUUCGGAGGUACCCAUCAGAUUUAGCUUUAAAAGCUAAA